CAAUGGAGAGUUUGAUCCUGGCUCAGGACGAACGCUGGCGGCGUGCUUAACACAUGCAAGUCUAAGGAGAACGAAUUCUUCGGAAUUUUAUUAAACUGGCGAACGGGUGAGUAACGCGUAGACAACUUGCCCAAAGAUUUGGGAUAACACCGAGAAAUUGGUGCUAAUACCGAAUAAUAUCACUUUGACCCCGGUCUUUGUGAUCAAAGGUGGCUUCGG
rnacentral:rRNA from 1 species